rnacentral:rRNA from 1 species
AGUGAACGCUGGCGGUAGGCCUAACACAUGCAAGUCGAACGGCAGCACAGUAAGAGCUUGCUCUUACGGGUGGCGAGUGGCGGACGGGUGAGGAAUACAUCGGAAUCUACUUUUUCGUGGGGGAUAACGUAGGGAAACUUACGCUAAUACCGCAUACGACCUACGGGUGAAAGCAGGGGAUCUUCGGACCUUGCGCGAUUGAAUGAGCCGAUGUCGGAUUAGCCAGUUGGCGGGGUAAAGGCCCACCAAGGCGGCGAUCCGUAGCUGGUCUGAGAGGAUGAUCAGCCACACUGGAACUGAGACACGGUCCAGACUCCUACGGGAGGCAGCAGUGGGGAAUAUUGGACAAUGGGCGCAAGCCUGAUCCAGCCAUACCGCGUGGGUGAAGAAGGCCUUCGGGUUGUAAAGCCCUUUUGUUGGGAAAGAAAAGCAGCAGGUUAAUACCCCGCUGUUCUGACGGUACCCAAAGAAUAAGCACCGGCUAACUUCGAG